rnacentral:rRNA from 1 species
CGCGUAGGCGGUUCGUACAGUCAGACGUGAAAUUCCCGGGCUCAACCUGGGGACUGCGUUUGAUACGUACGGGCUUGAGUUCGGAAGAGGGUCGUGGAAUUCCCAGUGUAGAGGUGAAAUUCGUAGAUAUUGGGAAGAACACCGGUGGCGAAGGCGGCGACCUGGUCCGAUACUGACGCUGAGGCGCGAAAGCGUGGGGAGCAAACA